AAGAAGAAGAAGAAGAAGAAUGGGUAAAUAAAUAGAAACCCAGAAAAGAUAGAAUCUGGAAACAGAAAGAAAGGUGAAAGUUGGUCUUUGGUAGUAAGAGCAGUUGGUGUGGUGGUCAAGACAGGUCCGCUUGGAAGACGACGAUGUGAUUUUUCUUCUUUCACUCUUGUCCACUGCGCCACUUGAGCAUUUGCUUCACUCCGUCCUACUUACAACCUACCUUACCCCUCUUUCUCGUUUUCACACAAUGACA
rnacentral:misc_RNA from 1 species